ACACACACACACACACACACACACACACACACACACCUGGAGGCUGCUGUCGUCUCCCCGCGCCCAGCUCACUCCACCACGCCCCUCCGGGUCCCUUUCAUCCAUCCUCCAACUGCCCCAGCCUCGUCAGGUGGAGAAGAAUGUGACCUUUUCAAUACUGCGAAGCCAAAAUCAUUAGGUUUUCUGCCUUUGUGCUUAGCAGCUACGGUGAAAGCAAAUCUUUGCUUCCUUCCACUUCCAUUUCCAGAUCAUUUGAAGAUACUCUGAGUUCAUCUAACUCAUAUUUAGCUCAGUAGGGAAAAUGGGUCACCACCUACCAACAUUAUGAAUGUAUCCUGCUAUUGCCCUUACCUGAAUCAGCAAUAACUUGUCUUUUGAGGGGAUAGCUAAGUAGCCCAUUCAGAGCAACUCUUCAAACCUUUCCAGAGAAAUUAUCAGUUGGUGCAAGUUGGGUGUAUGAACUCGAGAGAAGGACGAUAGACCCCAGGAAUGAUUUGUUUUAAUCUGAGCAGAAAACUGCAAGCAAAGGUCCUCCCCCAAAAUGAGCCUUGGGAAUAUAGCGGGCUAUGCGCUGGGGUUCUAGCCACAAGUCGUCCAUUCACCCCCAGCUGCUCUUUGGGAGCCAGAGGAGACACAGUACUCCCAUGAAGAGUUGCAGUCGCAGAAACGCACAGCCAAGCUUCGAAAGGGCGCCGAGUCAGAGGCAACGCCGUGCCAGUGAGUCAGUUGAGUGAUCAGCCUCUGGAGUCCUGAUUAUGGCUCAGCCAUGAAAGAUGGACAUUUGAACCCGCCCAGCAGCUCUACAGGAGAGAACCUGGCGAUUGGCUUCAUAAAGAUGACAGUCAAGAAUGUACAAGGGGGCAUGCAAAAAACCAAUGCUCAUUUGUGUUUUUUAUGUGAGUGGAAUUUGUCCGACCAAGUCAGACAGUUAAUCAAGCUUUCUAUCUAGAGGUUCUGAGAAGAUAGCAUAACCGUGUGUGACAAA